rnacentral:rRNA from 1 species
CGAACGCUGGCGGCAGGCCUAACACAUGCAAGUCGAGCGAGAUCUUCGGAUCUAGCGGCGGACGGGCGAGUAACGCGUGGGAACGUGCCCUUUGCUACGGAAUAGCCCCGGGAAACUGGGAGUAAUACCGUAUGUGCCCUACGGGGGAAAGAUUUAUCGGCAAAGGAUCGGCCCGCGUUGGAUUAGGUAGUUGGUGGGGUAAUGGCCUACCAAGCCGACGAUCCAUAGCUGGUUUGAGAGGAUGAUCAGCCACACUGGGACUGAGACACGGCCCAGACUCCUACGGGAGGCAGCAGUGGGGAAUCUUAGACAAUGGGGGAAACCCUGAUCUAGCCAUGCCCGCGUGAGCGAUGAAAGGGCCCUUAGGGUUGUAA